rnacentral:rRNA from 1 species
GUAAUACGUAGGGUGCAAGCGUUAUCCGGAUUUAUUGGGCGUAAAGGGCGCGCAGGCGGCCACCAGCAGUGGCCCGUGGAAUCUCUCCGCUCAACGGAGAGGGGCCGGGCCAGACGGGGUGGCUUGGGGCAGGCAGAGGCAUGCAGAACGGGCGGAGUAGGGGUGAAAUCCGUAGAGACCGUCCGGAAUACCAGUGGCGAAGGCGGCAUGCUGGGCCUGAAGCCGAAAGGCUGAACCCGACGCUCGGGCGCGAAAGCGUGGGGAGCGAACGGAAUUAGAUACUCCGGUAGUCCACGCCCUAAACGAUGGCAACUCGGUGUCGGGGGUAUCGACCCCCCCGGCGCCUAAGUCAACACGGUAAGUUGCCCGCCUGGGGACUACGGCCGCAAGGCUAAAACUCAAAGGAAUUGACGGGGGCCCGCACAAGCAGCGGAGCGUGUGGUUUAAUUCGACACAACGCGAAGAACCUUACCGGGGUUUGAACUGCACAGGACAGCCCUAGAGAUAGGGUCUCCCUUCGGGGCCUGUGUAGAGGUGCUGCAUGGCUGUCGUCAGCUCGUGUCGUGAGAUGUUGGGUUAAGUCCCGCAACGAGCGCAACCCUUGCCUCCUGUUGCUAACGAGUAAAGUCGAGCACUCUGGAGAGACUGCCGGUGAUAAACCGGAGGAAGGUGGGGAUGACGUCAAGUCCUCAUGGCCUUUAUGCCCCGGGCUACACACGUGCUACAAUGGCUGGUACAAAGGGUUGCAAAACCGCGAGGUGGAGCUAAUCCCAAAAAGCCAGUCCCAGUUCGGAUUGCA